GGAGGCUUAGCUCAGUUGGUAGAGCAGCUGACUCUUAAUCAGCGGGUCGGGGGUUCGAACCCCCCAGCCUCUA
rnacentral:tRNA from 1 species